UACAGAGGUCUCGAGCGUUAGGCGGAAUCACUGGGCUUAAAGCGUGUGUAGGCGGAUCGUUAAGUGCCUUGUGAAAUCCCACGGCUCAACCGUGGAACUGCUUGGCAUACUGGCGAUCUUGAGCCACUUAGGGGCUACCGGAACAAAUGGUGGAGCGGUGAAAUGCGUAGAUAUCAUUUGGAACGCCAAUGGUGAAAACAGGUAGCUGGGAGUGUGCUGACGCUGAGACACGAAAUCCAGGGGAGCAAACGGG
rnacentral:rRNA from 1 species